rnacentral:rRNA from 1 species
GGAUCAUUACAAGAAGCCGAAAGGCUACUUCAAACCAUCGCGAACUCGUCCAAGUUGCUUCGGCGGCGCGGCACCGGGUCACCGGGCGCCGCAGCACCGGCCUCUGCGGAGGCGCGGGGCACCCGCCGGAGGUACGAAACUCUGUAUUAUAGUGGAAUCUCUGAGUGAAAAGCAAAUAAGUUAAAACUUUCAACAACGGAUCUCUUGGUUCUGGCAUCGAUGAAGAACGCAGCGAAAUGCGAUAAGUAAUGUGAAUUGCAGAAUUCAGUGAAUCAUCGAAUCUUUGAACGCACAUUGCGCCCGGUAGUACUCUACCGGGCAUGCCUGUCCGAGCGUCAUUUCAACCCUCAAGCCCUGCUUGGUGUUGGGGCCCUACGGCUGCCGUAGGCCCUGAAAGGAAGUGGCGGGCUCGCUACAACUCCGAGCGUAGUAAUUCAUUAUCUCGCUAGGGAGGUGCGGCGGCGCUCCUGCCGUUAAAGACCACAUCUUUAACCAAGGUUGACCUCGGAUCAGGUAGGAAUACCCGCUGAACUUAAGCAUAUCAAUAAGCGGAGGAAAAGAAACCAACAGGGAUUGCCCUAGUAACGGCGAGUGAAGCGGCAACAGCUCAAAUUUGAAAUCUGGCUUCGGCCCGAGUUGUAAUUUGUAGAGGAUGCUUUUGGUGAGGUGCCUUCUGAGUUCCCUGGAACGGGACGCCAGAGAGGGUGAGAGCCCCGUAUAGUCGGCCACCGAUCCUCUGUAAAGCUCCUUCGACGAGUCGAGUAGUUUGGGAAUGCUGCUCAAAAUGGGAGGUAUAUCUCUUCUAAAGCUAAAUAUAGGCCAGAGACCGAUAGCGCACAAGUAGAGUGAUCGAAAGAUGAAAAGCACUUUGAAAAGAGGGUUAAAUAGCACGUGAAAUUGUUGAAAGGGAAGCGCUUGUGACCAGACUUGCGCCGGGCCGAUCAUCCAGUGUUCUCACUGGUGCACUCGACCCGGUUCAGGCCAGCGUCGGUUUCCGCGGGGGGAUAAAAGCGGCGGGGACGUGGCACCUCCGGGUGUGUUAUAACCCGCCGCUCAAUACCCUCGCGGGGACCGAGGU